CGGAGCGUGGCGCAGCCUGGUAGCGCACUUGCAUGGGGUGCAAGGGGUCCCGAGUUCAAAUCUCGGCGCUCCGACCA
rnacentral:tRNA from 4 species